AAGCGCCAAAGGUACAUGGUUGUGGUUGAUGAUGUAUGGAGUAGUGAGGCAUGGGAUGAUGUUAGCAAUUGCUUUCCUGAUGAUGGAAAUGGGAGUCGAGUAUUGUUAACUACUCGCCUUGCAGAGGUGGCAAAUUAUACUAGUUCCGACAAUGACUUUUCUCAUCACAUGCAAUUAUUGGAUCAAACUGAUAGUUGGAAUUUAUUUUGUGAAAAGGCAAGUAAAUCUCGUGGUGCUGAAUUUGAGAUAAUCGGGAAGCCAAUUGUUGAAAAGUGCAAAGGUUUGCCUCUUGCAAUAAUUGUUGUUGCCGGACUAUUCUCCAAACUCAAUAGACAAAAUGAGUGGGAGAAUAUUGCAAAAGCUCUAGAUUCUUCAACAACAACAACUAUUGCGGCAACAUGUUCAAAAAUGCUCUCACUGAGCUACAAUCACUUGCCUCACCAUUUAAAGGCAUGCUUUUUAUAUUUAGGGAUUUUUCCAGAAGAUAAUGAGAUCAAUGCUAAUGAGCUUUCAAGGUUAUGGUCUGCGGAAGGACUUGUAAAGGCAACCGAGAAUGAAAACUUUGAUGUUGUGGCUGAAAGGUACAUACAAGAACUUAUGGAUCGAAACCUAAUUCUUGUGAGCAAGUGGAGUUGUUGUGGAAGAAAAAUUAAAGCGUUUGGAGUGCAUGAUUUAUUGCUUGCAUUUUGUGUAAAAGAAGCUCAAAAGGAGAACCUUUUGCAUGUUGUUCGAGAAAAUGGUUCAGAUUUUCUUCAAAGAUGCUUCCGUUGGGCGAACAGUGGGAGCUUCCAGAUGAUGACAAAUUCUGCCAGUUAAUUGUUUUGAUAAUUGAUAGAACUGAUCUCGAGGAUUGGAAAGCCACUCGUUAUCAUUUCCCAAAACUUGAGCACCUCUCCCUUUUUUCAUGCGAGAAGUUGAAAGAGAUACCUAGCGGGUUUGCAGAAAUUUCAAGAUUGAAAUCAAUCCAAUUAAGGAGCUGCCGUCCUUCUGUGGUGGCUUCAGCCCAGGAAAUCAAGGAAGAACAACUUGAUUAUUUGAAUAAUAUUGUGGAUGUGGUUGUGGCGGAGCAACAUGGCUACUCUUGGGUUUCUGAGACUGAGUAUGAUGAAGCUUAGUUUGAUGGAUGAAAUUGACUUGUGCCAGAAGAGUAGGAGGAAAGCUUGAGAAAAAUGAGUAUGCAUGUCUAUCUAUCAUUGUGAAUCAUAAAAUUUGACCUUGCAACAUUGUAUUGUGUAGGUCUGAGUGAGAAAGCUUGCAUCACUUUUCUAAUUAAUUCAUUUGUGCUACUUUAAAGCGAGUUAGACUCGUCCUUUAAUUUGUUGUGCUUUUUGCUUUAAAAACGUUUGUUUCUAUUUCAUUCAUAAGGUCAUG